rnacentral:rRNA from 1 species
UACGGAGGGUGCGAGCGUUGUCCGGAAUCACUGGGCGUAAAGGGCGCGUAGGCGGCCUCUUAAGGGUGCGGUGAAAGUCCGGGGCUCAACCCCGGAUCGGCCGUGCCGACUGAGAGGCUGGAGCACUGUAGAGGCGAGUGGAAUUCCGGGGUGUAGCGGUGAAAUGCGCAGAUAUCAGGAAGAACACCUAUGGCGAAGGCAGCUCUCUGGGACGGUAACUGGACGCUGAGACGCGAAAGCGUGGGGAGCGAACAGG